rnacentral:rRNA from 1 species
GAAUAUUGGACAAUGGGCGAGAGCCUGAUCCAGCCAUGCCGCGUGCAGGAAGACGGCCCUAUGGGUUGUAAACUGCUUUUACAGAGGAAGAAACACCCCGACGUGUCGGGACUUGACGGUACUCUGCGAAUAAGGAUCGGCUAACUCCGUGCCAGCAGCCGCGGUAAUACGGAGGAUCCAAGCGUUAUCCGGAAUCAUUGGGUUUAAAGGGUCCGUAGGCGGGACAAUAAGUCAGUGGUGAAAGUCUGCAGCUUAACUGUAGAAUUGCCGUUGAAACUGUUGUUCUUGAGUAAUUAUGAAGUGGUUAGAAUAUGUAGUGUAGCGGUGAAAUGCAUAGAUAUUACAUAGAAUACCGAUUGCGAAGGCAGAUCACUAAUAAUUCACUGACGCUGAUGGACGAAAGCGUAGGUAGCGAACAG